rnacentral:rRNA from 1 species
UCCCUCUUCCACAGCCACUCAUUUCACUGUGAGGGACGAUUCCGACCAGGAGAAAUCUACCGUUCAGGUCCGUCGCCGGCGGCAAGACCGGAGCUGUAUAGCGCCGUCCAUCUCUGACGCGCUUCGCCGCCCAGAGCUGUCACGGCUAGCGCCACCCGUCUCCGGCGCGCUUCGCCGCCAUGAGCCGCGGGGUUCGAAGGCAGUAAGACAGAAAUCGCCGCCGCUCGCCUCCGGCACGCUGCGCGUGGCCUGGGGUCGUUGUAUUGGCUGGAGGCAAGAUGGGAUCCAUCACGGCUAGCUCUGUUCGCCUAAGGCGCGCUGCGCCACGCCUGGCCGUGGACUUGGCCGGCGGCAAGACGGGGGCCAUCGCGGCUAGUGUCGCUCGCCUCCGGCACACCCAAGGCCAGCCCAAGGUUGUGGCUGACCCGCUCCCUGUGAGGUGGUGGCACGGUGGAACUGCAGCGCGUGCAGCCGGUGGCUGAGAUUCCGUGGGAGUUUGCGUGAUCACAGUGGAAGAUGCUAACUCGAUGCAAACUCAACAGGCAAAGGCGCAAGAACAUACCUAAGGACGAUGAAUUGGCAGGAGCUCCGUCCAUGCUGAAGAACACCGUAGAUGUUGAUCCACGGAGAGGACAAUUUCCUAUCAAUCUUGAUCUAUUCUCCUUUGAUCCGGGGGCAACAACAAUGGAAUAGAUUGGUACGAGAAAGGACGGAUGAAGCCAUGAAGAGAUUUUGGCGGCAAUCUGUUGUUACGCGGGAGAUAAACCUGUCGUUUUGCUGAUUUUCUGGAACUUAACUACAAUUAUAGAGAUACGCUGGGUUGUUUAAGUGGUGGGGCCCUACCAGGACAGGUGUCGGACAUCCGUUGGCCCUGCACGAUAGUGCGUACUGGGAACCCUGCAGGAGAGCCCGACCCCGCUUGGUGCCGUUUCUUCGUGGGGUUACCGGUUUCUUCUCUCUCCUCUUUAACUAAGACGCCACGUCAGAUUUUGGCUUACGUGGACGGCUAAGCACCGAUACAGACUGGAGCGUUGGGAGGGGCCUAAUAUGUUACUGUAACAUAGCGCUUACCGAGAAAUGACUAGUCUACAAACUAAUAAAUGAAGUCAUCCAUAACACUACUACUAUAUUACUUUACAUUAUAAAGAUAGUAACUUAGACUAAUGUCAUAUGCAUGAUAUUAGUAUAAGUUACUCCCUCCUGUGACCAGCCUGAUGCCUUGGACUAAGAGUGCUGCUACGUACUACGGCUGGGUUCGUCACCGUACCACUGAUUGGCUGCUAAACAUACCAGCAGCAUGGCCUUGUCACGUCGUCUCUCA